rnacentral:lncRNA from 1 species
CUCUGUGGUUACCAGAUGUCAGUCGAAGUAAACAACGAAACACAUCUCAGUCAUUUUAGGAAAUUUAUUUGCCAAAGUUAAGGACACACCCAGGAGACAGGUCUAUGCCUUUUUCUGAAGAUGAUUUUGAGGGCUCCAAAUUUAAAGGGGAAAGGGUGGGAUAUUGAGAAGCACACAGUUUUUACAUAAAAGGGGGCAGAAGAAAAAUGUGGGGAAUCUGCAUUUUACAUAACAGACAAAAUGGGGUAGGAAAAAAAUCAGAUAUGCAUUUGUGUCCGGCGGGCCAGGGUGACUGCACCUGUAAAGAUAAGCUAUCAAGUUGCAUUGCCAUGGUGAAGUUUUAACAUCUCACCAGGAAUUUUCUUGUGUGCAAAAUAUGGGGGAGGUGUGUAGCCUUUCAUCUUGUAACCAUCUUAUUUAGGAACCAAAAGGGGGAGACAGAUUUGUGAGACCCAGUUUCCAUGACUAAGAUUAUCUCAGGAGUACAGGAUAAGUUGAACACUAAAAUCUAUACAUGUAUAUAAAAUAGGCACAGAAAAGAGCUCGGUAAAAGCCUUCCAGCAAACUAGAAAUAAAAGAUGUGAUUUUAUAUUGUAAAUAUACAAGGUAUCUAAAAUAAACUACAGCAAAUAUACAUAAUAAACUAUUAAAAGCUUGUUUUUUAAUGUCAUAAACAUGAUAAUGAUGCUGCUGUAAACAUUUUUGUUAACUAUUGCAUCUGUGGUUCCAGUCAACAGAUUAAAAUGAGAAAUGAGUUAUACAAUUAUACUUGCAAAGAAGAAUUAGUCAAUAAACUAGUACCUAAACAAUUGGUUCUACCUAGGUAGACUGGAUACCUGAAAAGCAACUCACACAAAAAACUUGUUCACAUAGAUUAAGGAAUUAAAACUUUUAGGAGAAAAUACAGGAAAAUAUUAUAACUGGGGUAAAAAUUUUCUAAACAUGGCACAAGAUAAAAAUAAUGCAUAAAAAUAUUUAUAAAUUAGACUAUCAAUUUUAAACUUGAUUAUUAAUAAUGUAUAAAAACAUGUUUUACUACAGAUAAUGCAAAGGCAAAGCAAAAUUGGGAGAAAAUAUUUUUAAAAGACAUACUACAAAAGAUUGAUAUUUAAAAAUAUAUAUAUUACAGACCGGCGCUGUGGCUUACACCUGUAAUCCCAGCACUUUGGGAGGCUGAGGCGAGUGGAUCACCUGAAAUCAGGAGUUCAAGACCAGCUGGCCAACGUGUUGAAACCCCAUCUCUACUAAAAAUACAAAAAAAUUAGCCAGCACUUUGGGAGGCCAAGCUGGGCGGAUCACUUGAGGCCAGGAAUUUGAGACCAGCCUGAACAACAUUGCAAAACCCCAUCUCUACUAAAAAUACAAAAAUUAGCCAGGCGUGGUGGCGCAUGCCUGUAAUCCCAGCUACUCAGGAGGCUGAAGCCUGAGAAUUGCUUGAACCCGGGAGUCGGAGGUUGCAGUGAGCUGAGAUCGCGACACUGUACACCAGGCUGGGCGACAGUGUGAGACUCCGUCUCCAAAUUAAAAAAACAAAAAAAGUUUUUAAAGUUGUGACCAUUAUGAUUACAUGUAAAUUGCCACAUGAAGAUGGAACAUGAAAUCUGACUUCAGGUGAGCAUAAUUUGAAAGGAAAAGGCAAAACAAGAGAAAAGAGUUAAAAAGGACGAAAACUUAAUUGGGUCAGAUCUGCAGGUUCUACCCUGUGCUGCUUUUUAGGAAAGUUGUCUCCUCUCCUGGCACAGAGGAAGGCUGGCUGGGGGAGCCUGGGCCCCUCUGUCCUCCCCGCGGUGACAGUGGCUGAUGUUUGCUCAGGCAUGAGGCGCGCCGCAAUGCCCUGGGCCUGAGGCUGACGGGCCCCGCCCCUCCUCCUUCCCCUGGACUCUUCCACGAUGUCUCUGUGCCCCUGUGCCUUCCUGUGCGUCCCUCUAAUGAAAGGGGGCAGUGGCAGCAUGAAGCUGGUGGCAGGAACUGGCUCCGCAGGCUGAGGAGGGCUCGCCCAGCUGUGGGAAAUGCUCCACUUGACAUCGGCUUUCUGUGCACCGAUCUGGGCCUCGACCCAGGGUUAGAGCCGUGGCGUCCCUGGCCUGGGCGACCCCGGGGGCUGGCACUCCGGCUGCUGCUGCGGUUGCCGCUGUGCUUGGCUGGGCCGCGGCUGGGACUAGCGCCCACUAGACGUGCAGGAGCCACCCCGCAGGAGGGAGGAGGUGGUAUCCAUGUUCCCUGAAAAACAGGCUCUGCUGACAAAUCUCAGACGCCAGGAACAGAAGAACCGAAAGAAACUGCAAGAGUUUGAGCCAAAAGGAUGGACUGUUGGAGUAGCUGAGGGUGAAGCUGCCGGAACUCCUCAAAGUGGAACAGCAAAGCCAGCACCAGAGAUGGACAAGAAAAACAAACUAUCAACGAAAAUUCGCAGAAAUCAAAGUUAGAUGCUAAAGCAGCGAAAAACCGUUCACGCCACGAUAGAAACAGAGUUGAUGAUGGAGUCUGAGAAACGAAUCUUAGGGAGAGAAAGGACAGCAGUGAACAUGGUCAGGUGCUGAGGAUUCUGGUCCACUGGACCCCACCAUCCCUAGGAUAGUAAAUACCAUCCCAGUCAUCACCCAGCAAGUUACCACCACAGCAUUUCCUGUGUGUUUCAAAAAAAUAAAUAAAGGUGAUUCUUAACAUAAGUGCAAAUAAAAAGUCAUUCAUCAUAAUCUAAACUGUCAUAGUUUAGUUUACAUUUUAACGUUCUUUAUCGUGCUAAAACCUUUGGUUUUUUAAAUUUAAUUUAAUUUGGGAUGGAGUUGUUGCCCUACUGCCCUGGCUGGACUGCAGUGACGCGAUCUCGGCUCACUGCAACCUCGCCUCUCGGGUUCAAGCGAUUCUCCUGCCUCAGCCUUCCGAGUAGGUGGGAUUACUGGUGCCUGCCACCACUCCCAGCUAAUUUUUGUACUUUUAGUAGACACAGGGUUUCAUCAUGUUGGCCAGGCUGGUCUCAAACUACUGACCUCAAGUGAUCCGCCUGCCUCGGCCUUCCAAAGUGUUGGGCUUACAGGCAUGAGCCACCAUGGCCAGACAAACAUUGUUUUUUAAAGUGGCAGCCACAAUUUUUGUCUGUCUGGAUAUAUUUUGGACUUUUGUAUAUUAAAUAUAACGUAAAAUAGAAACUUUAUUAUGUUUUAGGUAAUCUAACAUUGAUGUACACAAACAAACUUUACAGAUUACUGUAGGAUUCAGUAAACGAUGUAUACGACAUUUAUGUCUCUAGUUUUUGAUGUAUUAAUUUUAUUUUAGAAAAGAUUGGCUUCUUUAAAAAUGUCUCCAAAAAUGUAGGCUUAUUUUAUAAAAUGCCAAAAUAGUCAAAAAAUGUAAAAUACCAUUUUGCAUUUUACAAAAAGUAAAAUACUAUUUUGCCGUUUUAUACAAUAAGCCUGAAUUUGCCAUACUGUAUGAA